AAUGCACAGACUGUAAGUCACUCUGGAUAAGAGCGUCUGCUAAAUGACUAAAA
rfam:Salmo salar isolate Sally breed double haploid chromosome ssa23, whole genome shotgun sequence.